UACGUAGGGGGCUAGCGUUGUCCGGAAUCAUUGGGCGUAAAGAGCGUGUAGGCGGUCCGGUAAGUCCGCUGUGAAAGUCGGGGGCUCAACCCUCGAAUGCCGGUGGAUACUGUCGGGCUAGAGUGCGGAAGAGGCGAGUGGAAUUCCUGGUGUAGCGGUGAAAUGCGCAGAUAUCAGGAGGAACACCUAUUGCGAAGGCAGCUCGCUGGGACGGUACUGACGCUGAGACGCGAAAGCGUGGGGAGCGAACAGG
rnacentral:rRNA from 1 species